CCGGUAGCUCAGUUGGAUAGAGCAACUGGCUACGAACCAGUAGGUCGGGGGUUCGAAUCCUCCCCGGU
rnacentral:tRNA from 1 species